rnacentral:rRNA from 1 species
CGGAAAACUGGGGAUAAUACCCUAUAGACUAUGGAUGCUGGAAUGCUCUGUAGCCGAAAGGUCCGCCGCUGUAGGAAGGGUCUGCGGCCGAUUAGGUUGUUGUUGGGGUAACGGCCCAACAAGCCUGUAGUCGGUACGGGUUGUGGGAGCAAGAGCCCGGAGAUGGAUUCUGAGACACGAAUCCAGGCCCUCCGGGGCGCAGCAGGCGCGAAAACUUUACAAUGCGGGAAACCGUGAUAAGGGAACUCUGAGUGCCCGUAAAAUCGGGCUGUCCAUCAGUUUAACUACCUGGUGAAGAACGGGCCGGGCAAGCCCGGUGCCAGCCGCCGCGGUAACA